GAUGAACGCUGGCGGCGUGCCUAAUACAUGCAAGUCGAGCGAACGGACGAGAAGCUUGCUUCUCUGAUGUUAGCGGCGGGCGGGUGAGUAACACGUGGAUAACCUACCUAUAAGACUGGGAUAACUUCGGGAAACCGGAGCUAAUACCGGAUAAUAUUUUGAACCGCAUGGUUCAAAAGUGAAAGACGGUCUUGCUGUCACUUAUAGAUGGAUCCGCGCUGCAUUAGCUAGUUGGUAAGGUAACGGCUUACCAAGGCAACGAUGCAUAGCCGACCUGAGAGGGUGAUCGGCCACACUGGAACUGAGACACGGUCCAGACUCCUACGGGAGGCAGCAGUAGGGAAUCUUCCGCAAUGGGCGGAAGCCUGACGGAGCAACGCCGCGUGAGUGAUGAAGGUCUUCGGAUCGUAAAACUCUGUUAUUAGGGAAGAACAUAUGUGUAAGUAACUGUGCACAUCUUGACGGUACCUAAUCAGAAAGCCACGGCUAACUACGUG
rnacentral:rRNA from 1 species